rnacentral:rRNA from 1 species
UACGUAGGGUGCGAGCGUUAAUCGGAAUUACUGGGCGUAAAGCGUGCGCAGGCGGUUUGCUAAGACCGAUGUGAAAUCCCCGGGCUCAACCUGGGAACUGCAUUGGUGACUGGCAGGCUAGAGUAUGGCAGAGGGGGAUAGAAUUCCACGUGUAGCAGUGAAAUGCGUAGAGAUGUGGAGGAAUACCGAUGGCGAAGGCAGCCCCCUGGGCCAAUACUGACGCUCAUGCACGAAAGCGUGGGGAGCAAACAGG